GAUGAACGCUGGCGGCGUGCCUAAUACAUGCAAGUCGAGCGAACAGACGAGGAGCUUGCUCCUCUGACGUUAGCGGCGGACGGGUGAGUAACACGUGGAUAACCUACCUAUAAGACUGGGAUAACUUCGGGAAACCGGAGCUAAUACCGGAUAAUAUAUUUAACCGCAUGGUUCAAUAGUGAAAGACGGUUUUGCUGUCACUUAUAGAUGGAUCCGCGCCGCAUUAGCUAGUUGGUAAGGUAACGGCUUACCAAGGCCACGAUGCGUAGCCGACCUGAGAGGGUGAUCGGCCACACUGGAACUGAGACACGGUCCAGACUCCUACGGGAGGCAGCAGUAGGGAAUCUUCCGCAAUGGGCGAAAGCCUGACGGAGCAACGCCGCGUGAGUGAUGAAGGUCUUCGGAUCGUAAAACUCUGUUAUUAGGGAAGAACAAAUGUGUAAGUAACUAUGCACGUCUUGACGGUACCUAAUCAGAAAGCCACGGCUAACUACGUG
rnacentral:rRNA from 1 species